AUUCUACGUGACUUUACCGAAAGAACCCAGAAGAUGAAUCCCUGCAGUCACGAAAGCUUUAAAUAUAAAUUUGAGCUCUAGCACUGGCUAGCGGGAUGAGGGUAGACUGGUGAAACUUGCUGAUGACUGGUCCAAGUGAGGCAGACUUGCACAGCUCUUCACUGGCUGCUGACACAGUCAGAAUCAGAAUAUUAAUUUAUCCUGGAGGAAUCCAAUGAUCUAUAAAGCUCUUCACAGAUGUCCAAAUGUCCAAAGUGAUGUGCCCGCACAGCAUUCAACCUUUUACUCUUAAAUCACUGUGCAUUAUUUCUGGAGAUAUUUUUUUCAUUUUUUUUUGCAAAAAUAGGGCAGAAGGGGCCCUGCACGGUUGACUUCAUUAUGAAGGAAUUAGUUUCCCAGAUUAUUUGUUGACAAGAGGUAUCACUGUGUAUCAAUUGUAGUAUUUUAAAAAACUGUUUAAACCGAUUACAUUGUUGUAUGUCUCAAGGUGGCUGCUUUUUUUAUUUCCACAGAUAUCCAGACUACUCCUUCUACCCCUCGGUCUGCUGCUGUUGUUCCUUGUCAGGGCACUCAAUGCCUUUCAUUUGAUGUUGGCAUUGGCAUUUGAAUCCUUAUUGGAGUUGUUGUUGGCAUUUUCAUGACUCGGUGCAUAAAACGUCUUCUGAGAUGGUAUAAAAACCGAUGCAAGUAAGUAAAUAUAUUUAGCCUAUUUGCAAUUGUUCACUUUGGAUUUUGCAUUUAAAUGGAAAAACACAACUGUUAUACUGAGAUAUGUAUUUUUAUGUUCAGGUCAUCUCCUGCUGUGGAAUCUACUCCCCCAGGUUCCCAGGAUGUGAAUGCUAGUUAUCACCAGGUACAAAUGUCAAAGUGUUAACUCCUAGGUCAAAUCAAAAUACCUUUUUAUCCAUGCCCAUCAGUUAAUCCUGACCCUCUCAUGAUACUAGUGGCUAUCUGAUCCCUUUUUUCGAUGGGUGAUCGAGGAAAUGCAAUAACCCCAUGUUGGCCACAAUACAUUGGCUGCAUUCCGAUUAUGACAAGUAGCAAACCUACAGUGAAAGCUAAUUAUAGAUGAGCGACCUCACCCUUGAUCGGGCUCAUCAGCAUGACCUUUCCUGCAUAGCUAUACAGGAGAGAUGGGUGCUUAUUUAUCAAUGUGUAUGCUGGCUCUUUUGGGCUUAUUAGUUCCUGUGAACUUUCCCGUAAAGAUUUAUGGUCUCAACAUUUGUAGCAUUGGUAUGUUUAUCUUGUUAGUGUGUGUGACUUAAAAAUAAGCAAGAGAUCAAUUUACAUUGCUAUGUACCAAUCGGUAUUUUGUAGGCUGUCAUUUUAGCUUAAAGGCAAUUUUUGAACUUGCUGAUGUGGCCACAAGUGGCAACUGGUACUAACAUUCACUUUCUACUUUGUUUCUGAGAAUAUUUUUUGUUUUAUGGGGAUGCAUGACCCCGGCAGUACCUGUGUGUAAUACCUGUUAUGACUUCUAUCUUUUACCCAUAAUAUGACACAUUUCUACUUAUGCGCUCUAACCCAAAAAACCUCUUAUGGAUAAUAUUGGUCGUGUAAAGCCUAUGUGUUAAUUUUUUUAUUUUUACGUCUGCAAUCACAACCGCUAAAUCUUUAGAACACUUUAACACUGAGGAUGUGAUUUUAACUUGUUUCUUAUUAGUUGGCUGCAACGGACCAAAAUAACAUCAACAUGGGGAAAAUGUACGUACUUUGCAUUUAUUGUAGUUUACAAUAUUUCCACUGCCAUUAUAAACAAGGUGAAUAUUUUUCUCCAUGUUUCAUUUUUGUAACUAUUGGACCAGAUGGUGUCAGUAAAUACAAGUGAUAGCAAGGAACUCGCAUAAAAAGGCAGAUUUAGCCACUUCACAGAGCUUCAUAUAGGGAAACAAUACACCGCAUUCCCAUAUUUAUUUAAUAGCGGACUGACCUAUGUUUGGGAACUGGAAAAGUGGGUCAAGUCGGGGUUCCCACGGCAGUGGGGCACGAGGUCAAGAAAGCUGUGAUCGGGCCACUCGACCUGCUUUAGCUAGGAUGGAAACAGUGGUGACUUCAUAGUAAACAUUUUCAAAACAUUGAGACAACCCAAACAUAAGUUCUUUAUAUUUUUUUUAUGGAUUGUUGCCUUCCAGCCAUGCAGGGGAUGGCAGGGAAGGGGUUUAAUCCAAGUCAAUCUUGGGAUAAGAACCAAGCCAAUCAAUUCCAGGAACAGCGCAGCUUGCGUCUCGUUUGUAAUCGCAGAGACGUAGCAUCAGUUUGCUUUUAGGACAGCGGUGAGGAACUUACGGCCUGUGGGCAACAUAUUGACCACAAAUUAAUUUUAUAUGGCUACCAGCCACAUGACGCUGACCACUUCAAAACUACCCACAAAUCAUACUUAUCCAUAACGGCAAGCAUCUUAGCCUCACUUAUCCGGUGCUACAGGGGAAUAUUUUUGACCGGGAAACACUUUCUAAUUCUAGCACACUCAAUCAGUGCAGUCUUUGUUAUGCUUGGUCAGCGUGCACUUUGUUUUCCCUGUUAUUUUAUAUAGCUAAGGUGUGUGCUGAUGUGUAGCCUGCCAAAGUUAUUUGAGAGCUCUUAAUUGGUGUUUCAUAAAGAAAAGGUUCAAUAUGAAAUCCAAAUGUAGACCUUCAGGGUCGAUAUCAAGGCUUUUAAUCUGUUUCUGGUCUAUAACCAAUUGCCUUGGAUGCAUCUGAUCUCAGAAGCGAAGUAGUGUUGUUGAGCCUGGUGGAUAGCGCUUGAAAGAGCACCCACCACAGCAGGUUCUUUAGAAGAAGCUGGAGUGCUGCGUGAUUUGCAGCAGAGGGCAGUGCAGCAACAUCCAUUUCCACGCUCCCACAUCUAUAUACUGGAAGCCUUCACUAACCUGCACCGACUAGCCUGGUGAAGUAUGGUCAAUUAACUCACACGACCCCCACUUUGUGUGGAGGUCCUCAUCCAGCAGAAAAUGUUGGAAAGGGUUACAAAUCUAUAUUAAUAUUUUGUUGUAUCCAUGUUUAUUACAUGAUAGUGCGUGCCCCAUUCAUGUUUAAACUGCAUACUUUGGUAAACAUGCAAAUAAAUGUGUUUCAUCGCACAUUUAAUUCCAUUGAGCAAUGGCCAUUUCACAUCGGUAAUUAAAAACUGUCCCGAAUGUACCUUAUUUAAUACAUACAGUACCUCAUGGCUUUCAGUGUGAACCGUUACAGGAAGAGCGCUUAUGAAAUGGAUGAGAAUUGUGAUGAAAUUCAGUCUUCAGCUACGUGCCAGAGCAACGAUCUAAAUUAGACCAAUUUAAUGAAUGGCUGCAACUCUUUAAGGUAAGUUUAUAUCACUCCACGGGUCUCUUCUGACAUAACUGUGGUGUUUAUGAGCAGGGUGGUGUGUAAAGUUUUCGCAUUUGGCUCAUCCAUUUCUCUGCAUAAGCAACCACCCUGCUGUGGAAGGAGUCAUAUUUCAUUCCCAAUUGUGAUGUUCACCUUUUAUCCAUACUUACAUGUAUUAAGCCAUCCACAGUUUCUGAAUGAAUGUAUUUCUGUGGUUAAUGACCAGCAAGGGUGCUUUCUGUGGUGCAUUGUGCUUUUCUAGGCUGCUUGUCAUCCUAUUACACUGCCUUGUGUUGGCUGUAGGGAAUGUCUCGGAUGUGACAACUACAACAGUAUUUAUUGUAUUUGAUGUCUCAUCCUAGAGCCACAAACAUGUUUACCGAUACUAUGUUAUUCUGUAUAUUUUCGGUUUGGUUAUUUAUCAGAAUUCAUUUUAAAAAAAUGCAUUGGAAGUGUUUUGUAUUAAAAUAUAUAUGAUUUAACUUUAAUGUCUAUUAACCUAUGUAUUCACUUUGGAUGUUUAAGUAUGUCUUACUGAUCUAAUACAAACGGGACACGUUUUGACACAUCUCAGAUAAUAAAGUUCAAUGUCAAAGUAGUUUCCCACUCAAAAAUGGGGUGGAGUUUCUAUGCUACAAUACGAUUUUGCGUCUGAAUGCAUCUCAAGAUGUUGUUUUAUUUCCUUGUAUCUUCAAGCUCGUGCUAAACACUCUGCAUUUAUAGCGGGCCCAUGCGAUUCCAAUGGAGGUUGACUUGUCUCUUCCCACAAGGUCGUAAAAAAUUGUUCUCAAACCCCGAGGGAUAAAUUGCUGAGUCAGCUUUCAGUUUAAUUCUGAACACAUAGAAUUAUAACAGACAGCCAUGCGCUCUAACCACUGGACCACCCUGCCAAAUUAAUAUAUUAUUAGUUAAAUUGAUACACUCACUGAAAUAAUAUUUUAACUUUAUUGAAUUUUCCACUAUUUAAGGUUAAACAAAAUUAAAUAAUAGUUGCAUCACUAAUUUCAUCCUUGGCAAACCACACACUUGCUGCACACUGAUAUUUUUGUGCGGUUGAUGUUUAUUAAUGGUCAUUCUUACGACUUAGUUGUUUAUUUUACUUUCACCUUAACAAUGGGUAGGAGUAACUCGGAUCCAUGAACGUAAAAUGCUGAUACCUAAAUUACCGACUCUUUUCUGUGUGCAACUAUGGCUAUUGAACUCCAAACCAUGGACCGGGUAACUUCGCACUCCCCCAAAUAUGAAUUCGCCAUUUCUCAAACAAAGCAAUUAAAUGGCAAAAUCACAUAACUUCUGAUUCUCUGCAUUGUUGAUGUUUGUAAACCAUAGGAAAUAAUAUGGAUAAACUUGAUUAUACUACACUAUUCUGGUCAAUACAGGUUGGGGGAGCAUACACUUUGGAGUAUAAGUAUUUAAUUUAAUUAAUUGGAUUAAUUAAUCAAUUCCAUCAUUGUGGGUAUUUUCUUUCGGGAGGAAAUUAAAAAGUUGGAAUUGCAAACUAUUCUUAAAGUAAUCAUGAUUGUUUUUUUUUACAGUCCAUCUUAUCACUGUGAACGGUUGAAUCGGGUUUCUAAUUCUCCUAUAAACUGAGAUAUCCAGACUACUCCUUCUACCCCUCGGUCCGCUGUUGUUCCUUGUCCUUGUAGUUAACAAUAUUUCCAUUGCCAUUAUAAACAAGGAAGAGCGCUUAUGAAAUGGAUGAGAAUUGUGAUGAAAUUCAGUCUUCAGCUACGUGCCAGAACAACGAUCUAAAUUAGACCAAUUUAAUGAAUGGCUGCAACUCUUUAAGGUAAGUUUAUAUCACUCCACGGGUCUCUUCUGACAUAACUGUGGUGUUUAUGAGCAGGGUGGUGUGUAAAGUUUUGGCAUUUGGCUCAUCCAUUUCUCUGCAUAAGCAACCACCCUGCUGUGGAUGGAGUCAUAUUUCAUUCCCAAUUGUGAUGUUCACCUUUUAUCCAUACUUACAUGUAUUAAGCCAAUCCACAGUUUCUGAAUGAAUGUAUUUCUGUGGUCAAUGACCAGCAAGGGUGCUUUCUUAAUACUACGAGGGGAAGCUCCUAUCUUUUACUGUUUUAGUAUUCAAAUUUGAACAUCAUGUGUCCGAAAUAUGUAAAAAACAAUAAAAGAUGAAACAAUGGUUCUCGAUUAAAUGUUAUUUGAUGUUUAAUGCUCUAUCAAACGAAAAAAACCGCAAUCUUAUAUUUUGAACGGUUUCUGAAUGACAAACAUUUUUAGGGGGUACUUUUAUGGGGCCUUCAAAUGAAAAAUCUCAGAUUCUCAUAUUUCCUGUCAUUUGUCCUCAAAGCUACCUUUGUGCCUAAUUUCAGAUUUUUACCAUGUCGAGAAGUACCCUCGAGGUUUUUGAGACAUGCAGAUUAAGGUCUUUAUAUAGAUAUUUUAGUGCAAUCAUUGAUCUCUAGGUUGCGACCAUAAACUCACUACCUUGAGAACCUAGAUUUAGUUA